rnacentral:rRNA from 1 species
GUACACGCUGUGACUAGCAUAUCAAUAAGCGGAGGAAAAGAAACUAACAAGGAUUCCCCUAGUAACGGCGAGUGAAGCGGGAAGAGCUCAAAUUUGAAAUCUUAAAGGGUUUCCCUUUACGAAUUGUAGCUUUAAAGAAGUGUUUUCUGUUGAGGUUUUGGUAAAAGUUCUUUGGAAUAGGACAUCAUAGAGGGUGAGAAUCCCGUAUUUGACCUUUACUUUCAACUUUGUGAUACACUCUUCAAAGAGUCGGAUUGUUUGGGAAUGCAGUCCAAAAUGGGUGGUAAAUUUCAUCUAAAGCUAAAUAUUGGCGAGAGACCGAUAGCGAACAAGUACCGUGAGGGAAAGAUGAAAAGAACUUUGAAAAGAGAGUUAAACAGUACGUGAAAUUGUCAAAAGGGAAGCGUUUGACACCAGUGUUGUUUUUCUGAAAAUCAAUUAAAGAACUGUUUAUGCUAAGCUGUUUAGACUUUAUCAGCUAACUGUUUAGUUUUGAGCUUUUCUUUAAUGCACUUUUCAGUUAACAGGUCAACAUCAAUUUCUUUUGCUGUAAAAAAGCUUGAGGAAGGUGGCUUGAGAUUCGUCUUAAGUGUUUAUAGCCUCUUGCCUAUGCAGUCGGAGAGAUUGAGGUCUGCAGCGUAGAUCCUUCGGGGCUAAAUGCAUUUGUGCUAAGUUAUAGCAUUUUAUAGACAACUUGUUGACUAUGAUUUGUCUUGUAGCUUACUCGCUUAUGUUAUUUUACCUACGCUUAGGAUGUUGAAGUCAUCGUAUCGCGC